CCGGUGUGGUACGGCAGGAGGAGCUCCGCCGGGAGAAAACUCGCCGAGUUGCGUCCUCAUCAGCAUCACUCACUCGCCCUGUGUGUGUCUGUCAACAGAUGGAUCUCUUCAAACUCUCCCCAGUCUGACAUGGAAGCGUCUCCUGCACCACCCCCGUAAUCUUCAUUUGUGGAGUGCUUCUUCCUGGCGCAGGCUCGGUGUUUCUGACCCAGAUGGAUGUGGCCGGCGGUGGUCGCACCGUGAUCUUACCCGGGGGUACCACAGUGUCACACUGAGACAGCGUCCGGAAUAUACAGUUUUUGGGAUUAACGAGCAGCCCAGUGCCAUGAAGAGGACAUUUUUGUUGGUUUUGCGGGCGAGGUUCCGGUCCGUGGCCGGGCACCUGCUCUUACUCAUAAACCUUGUGGGAUAUUGUCACGGGAUGCCGCACGUCUUGAGAUUCGGUGGGAUUUUUGAGUCCAUUGAGAGUGGUCCAUCAGGUGCAGAGGAACUAGCCUUUAAAUUUGCCCUGAACACCAUCAACAGGAACAGAACCUUGCUGCCAAACACGACGCUCACCUAUGACAUCCAAAGGAUAAACAUCUACGACAGCUUUGAGGCUUCUAGAAAAGCCUGCGACCAGCUAUCUUUGGGGGUGGCAGCUAUCUUUGGACCCUCUCACAGUUCUUCAGCCAACGCUGUUCAGUCCAUCUGCAAUGCACUGGGAGUACCACACAUUCAGACCAAGUGGAAGCACCAAGUGUCCGACAACAAGGAUGCCUUCUAUGUGAGCCUGUACCCAGACUUCUCAUCCCUCAGUCGUGCCAUCCUGGACCUGGUUAAUUUUUUCAAGUGGAAGACAGUCACUGUGGUUUAUGACGACAGCACAGGUUUGAUUCGGUUGCAAGAGCUCAUCAAAGCCCCUUCAAAGUACAACAUUCGUCUAAAGAUCCGGCAGCUUCCUGUGGACACCAAGGAUGCCAAACCAUUGCUAAAGGAGAUGAAGAGGGGGAAGGAGUUCCACAUCAUCUUUGACUGUAGCCAUGAGAUGGCUGCUGGAAUACUGAAGCAGGCUCUGGCAAUGGGGAUGAUGACUGAGUAUUAUCACUAUAUCUUCACCACACUGGAUCUGUUCGCUCUGGAUGUGGAGCCUUACCGGUACAGUGGUGUGAACAUGACAGGCUUCAGGAUCCUCAACACAGAGAAUAGCCAAGUGACAUCUAUCAUUGAGAAAUGGUCCAUGGAACGACUGCAGGCUCCUCCCAAACCUGACUCUGGUCUACUGGACGGCUUCAUGACCACGGAAGCUGCGUUGAUGUACGAUGCCGUGCACGUGGUGGCCGUGGCUGUGCAGCAGUCUCAGCAGAUCACCGUCAGCUCAUUACAGUGCAACAGACACAAGCCCUGGCGCUUCGGGAACCGAUUCAUGGCCCUCAUCAAAGAGGCUCAUUGGGAUGGCCUGACUGGAAGAAUCACUUUCAACAGCACGAAUGGAUUGAGGACAGACUUUGAUCUGGAUGUCAUCAGUCUGAGGGAGGAGGGUCUUGAGAAGAUUGGAACUUGGGACCCUGCAAGUGGCCUGAACAUGACUGAGAACCAGAGAGGGAGGACAACAAACAUCUCAGACUCUCUGUCAAAUCGAUCCCUUGUGAUUACAACAAUACUGGAGGAGCCAUAUGUGAUGUCCAAGAAGUCUGACCAACCCCUGUAUGGGAACGAGCGCUUCGAGGGCUACUGCAUAGACCUGCUUAGAGAGCUCGCCAACAUUCUAGGCUUCACCUACGAGGUCCGUCUUGUGGAGGAUGGAAAAUAUGGAGCCCAGGAUGAGAUCACAGGCCAGUGGAAUGGCAUGGUGAAGGAGCUCAUGGAACAUAGAGCUGAUCUGGCAGUGGCUCCCCUCGCCAUCACAUACGUGCGUGAGAAGGUUAUUGAUUUCUCCAAGCCCUUCAUGACGCUGGGUAUAGGUAUACUCUACCACAAGCCCAACGGGACCAACCCUGGGGUCUUCUCCUUCCUGAACCCGCUUUCGCCAGAUAUCUGGAUGUAUAUUCUGCUGGCUUACUUGGGUGUCAGUUGUGUGCUGUUUGUCAUUGCCAGGUUUAGUCCCUAUGAGUGGUAUAACCCUCACCCUUGCAAUCCUGAAUCGGAUAUGGUCGAAAACAAUUUCACCCUGCUAAAUAGUUUCUGGUUCGGAGUUGGAGCUCUCAUGCAGCAAGGUAUACGCCUCUGCCUGUCCCCUUCUUUUUGUUUUUCUGGCACAGCUCCCACGUUUUUGCUGGGGGUGAUUUUGGCUUUUGAACCAAGCCCGAGACCAUGCAUGGGGGCCUCUGUGCAUGUAGCAGAAAAGCCUCACUGUCCAUCAGGACAAGUGAAGUGCAGGUUACUAGUUUGACAGAUAUUGUAUAUGAAUGUUUAUGCAUGUUCUUUCGCCUCCACAACAAGGUAAGUGCAUCCACUAUGAAUACAUGAGAUCUAGGACAGAGUUAAUUAAAGCCAGUGAUAGAGGUUGGUUCGACGCCUCAUCUUCUCAUCUGGUUGGCAUCUAAUAAAGGAAAAACUCAGUCAUUGUGGAAAAACAAUGAAGGUUUUAUGUAGUCUUCAGCUUUUUACAUGCACAUUCAAAGGGCUAAAACACAGGAAGCAUGUGUGUGUUGUAUUCAACCAAUAGAAUAGGUUUUGUUUUAAUUGGUAUUUAUUCUUUUGUCUUUAAUCAUUUUCCUUUAAAGAAAUAUCAGGAAAAGAAAUAAAUUACAAACAUUAGUUUCCUAGUGCGCCACACGAUGGCCUGUGGUUAGUACACUCGCCUUACAUCAAGAACGUGGAUUCAAUUCCCGGGUGGGACCAGUGGCUUCUCUGCAUGCAGUUUGCAUGUUCUCCCCGUGUGCGUGUGGGUGUUCUCCAGGUACUCCGUUUUUUCCCAAAGACAUGCUCACAGGUUAAUUGGACACUCUAAAAUUGCCCUUAGGUGUGCGUGUGUGUGUGUGUGUGUGUGCGCUGUGAUGGUGGUGUAUUCCUGCCUCUCACCCAGUGACCACUGGGAUAGGCUCCAGCACUCCCCGCAACCGUGAACAGGACUAAGAGGUGGUUAUUUUCCUAUGCUGACAUGAUAUGGUCUUGUCUGUGAAAAUCUCCACAGUAAGUCCAAAUCCAUAUUUGCGUGUUGUAAGAGUUUAAUACAAUUGUCUCCCACAUCACUAGAAAUUAGAUAGGUCCAGCCAAGAAAAUUACAUCCAAAUGCUGAACCAUAUAGAUCAAACGCACACUGUGCACUAUUGUGCACGUGUCCCGAUGAAACGUGUGACCAUCAGCUUUUCAUACAACAUUAAGACAUUUGGAUAUAAAAAAAGAGGAAAAAAUCCUGCUGAAAAACUGGCCACCAGAUUGAAAUAUGUGGCUUAUGGCUGAGCAUAGUGCUCAGCACACUGCUGUACUACACUGUAAAGAGGCCCCUCUAUCUGGUGGACGGCCCUACCCCCUGAAGAAUGUGGGAUGUGUUACUCUUGGUCCUGACGUUACCUUGGAUACAUGACAGUCAGCCCCAACCAGGUUCUGUUUGGGUUCAUACCUGUUUGUUCUGUUGGGAUUUCAACAGGGUAAGAAGGAUCACCUGUUGCUUAAAACUUUGGAUCAUAUGCAGAUAGAACAGAGUCAUUCACAGCAUAAAUUAACAGGUGGCGAGGAUCAUUUUCAUGACUGAGCCUGAUUUCUUGUGUCACUCCAACUCAAAUCAUAUAUACUGAAUGCAUUUCACUGCAGCAGGUUACUCCUAGCAAUCCAGCCCACUCCUCUGAAUACAUGCUCUGUAGCACCAAAAGAUUGUUACUGUGACUGAUUCACUGUUCAUUUUAUUGCUGCAGCAUGUCUGUUCAGUAUUGUAUGCAAUGCUGAGAAAGAUUCCAACUGCAUGUUAAUAACGGCAAGCACCACCACAUUAAAGUCACAGUCAUCUUGGCCAUUGAUUGCACCCUCAUUUUCAUGGAAAAAUGUCAUUGAUCACUGUUGGCCAGUUUAGUGAGUCACUUUCAACCAAACACUUUCAACAUUUGAAGAGUCAUUGAUGGUGCCAGGUUUUGCUGCACUCAGGUGAUACUCCCUGCUGCAGCCUUGGGCACAUGGCUGCAGCCAGUGGUGAUCACUUGACACUGUGAGAAAGGAAGAGAACUUUCUGCAGAGUGUAGGUUGAGUAUCUCAUAAAGGGAGUGUGGCACAGAAUCCUUAACCUGCUCUGUCUCAUCUUGUCUUUUGCUGCCAAUGAAUGUUCCCAGCUUUUGAUGGUUCAAACUGGAAUAGAAUUUGUUUGACCUGGACAAGAAACUUCUUCAUUCCAUCUGCCUUCCAUCUUUUUUUAUUCACCCAAAUCUGCUUCGCCAGUGCAGUCACAUGUUCACCAUUUCCAUUCCACACGAAUCAUCAGUGAUGAUUCUAUUCAAAUGGGUAAAAUGACAAAAUGGAGAAAAGCUAUCUAAAAUAUUUCGUUUCCAAGUACCACCGUUAAUUGAAUUGUGACGCGACAGGUGUUAUGGUAUUUGUUGUAGCUGGGUCAAACACUGGUGCCAUCUUGUGACGGGAUGAGAGGAACCAACUCUGAAAGUCUGAAUGGCUAAGUGCACCUUAGGGGAGUACGUUGAGUGUAAUAUCAAUAAAGAUUUGACCGAAUUGUGACUAGUUUGGGGCGAAAGGUGCAGGUUCAUGCUACAGUUGUUCUGGAAACUAUGCCGUGCACAGAUGAUGAUAAAGUGUCUGACUGUGAAAGAUCAGCGAUGGAUAUUCAGAGAGAGAUUAACGUCACAAAAUGUGCAGAAAUUCUCAAAUUUGUUUAAAGAGCCAUUUUGCUUAACUAUAAUGAAAAAAAUAACAUGGAGAAAAUUGCCCUGGGAUUUAAGGUGUGCAUCAUUGUUUGCCAUCCAUGUUGUCUGUUUGCAGCUUUAACUAAAACAUCACAAUAGUCAGCGCUCGCAACACAAAUAGACACUGUCCAAAGCUGCCUUUUAUCAUUUCUGUGUGUCUCUGGAUCAUGAAGGGUUAUUUUUAGCAGAUACAGUCUCAAAAUAGUGACUGUAUUUCCACUCAGAACACACGCGUCUCUCUCCUAGUGUAGCUCCAUUGUUGCUGACAUCUGUGUCACUGUUGAAAGUGUCAAGUCCAGUUUCGCUAUGAACUAUGGGGAAGAACAAAAAACUGCUCAGGUGUAAUUUUACAGGACAGGAUCAGGUUUGCCCAUCACCGAUACUGUUAAGCUGAAGUGUGGUCACUGGUGCUGAUGGCCAAUACUGAUCACAUGGAUUAGAUAAUUCAUGAUUAAACUUAGUUAUGAUGAAUGCUACUAAGUGCAUGAUGUGGAAAAAAGGAUCACUAAAAUUUAGAUAAACAGCCGUCUUGGCUGACACUGACACUCUUCAUCAUUGCGUGGAUGUCUGGGUCAGUACCGAAUGAGUGGCAGACUGGGGUGGUGGUUUCCCUAUUUAAAGGGGGAAAGAGGUGUGUUCCAACUACAGAGGAAUCACUCUUGUCAGCCCCCCUGGUAAGGUCCUCUAAGGUGGACUUGUGGACUUCGAGAAGGCGUAUGACCGGGUGCCUAGGGACAAUUUGUGGGAGGUGCUUCGGCAUUAUGGGGUGCGAGGCUGCCUAUUGAGGGCCAUUAAAUCUCUGUAUUCCGGGAGUGGGUGUUUUGUCCGGAUUGUUUCGUGCAAGUCCAAUGUGUUUCCGGUGGGGGUUGCUCUCCAUCAGGGUUGUGCGUUGUCUCCAAUCCUGUUUUUGGCUUACAUGGACAUGAUUUCAAGGCGCCGCACUGGUGGGGAGGGUUUGCGGUGUGGUGGCCUGAGGAUCCAGACAAUGCUAUUUACAGAUGAUUUGGUUCUCAUGGCUUUAUCACGGUGCAACCUUCAACUCUUGCUGGAUCGGUGUGCAUGUGAAGUGGCUGCAAUCAGCACUGCUAAGGGCGCUUUUACGCUGCAGGUUCUGUCUCGAGACAGGAUGUUUACUCACAUGUUUUUGCCUUUAUUAGGCUGAUAAACAUCUGAUUUUAUUGACAGACAGAUUUGCUGAAAUGAAUAAUGCCACACUUUACAGUAACUGUUUUCACUGCAGUGAUGUGGCAGCAGUGCAGCUGUCUCAAUGAGGAGAACAGCAAGGAGGAGGAGGCUAAUUUUUCCCACGUUACUGAAGAUCACCAGACUUCAUUGAUCAUUUCCGACGUCUGGAUUUGUACUUCAAUGAUUAAAACCUUCUUGAUCGUCAGUAACCUCUCUCACUUUGUUCAAGGUGUUGUGAGAGCAGCGUGGAUCAAUCAAGACGCUCGGUAUUACGCCGCUUGUUUUUGCUGCUUGUAAAUUAAACAUGACAAAACUCUUUCAUGUUUAGUUUUGGCUGUGAAACGCCACAUCCGUCAUCAGUCAAUAUCGGAGGUUGGGACAACUCGUUCUACUCAGAAUUUACAGAAAUAAGGAGGUCAACCCGAUGGUGGUAAAUAGGUUGUUGCACGGCUCAUGACAACUUCCUUUUAGACAUGCUUCAUCAUGGGUCACAAACCAGCUAUUUUGAGCAGAGCGCCGCCAGCUGAGGAGGAAAAAAGGGACAUCAUCUGAGGCGCAGAGGCUACACAGCAGGGGGUGAAUCGAACUCAGGCCACCCGAGACAGAACCCGCUGUGUGAAAAGCCCCUACGUCAGAGCCCAUGGUUCUCAACCGGAAAAUGAUGGAAUGAGUCCCUGUCUCAAGUGGAGAAGUUUAAGUGUCUUGGGGUCUUGUUCUGGAGUGGGGGUGUCGGAGAUUGCUCUGUGAAUCAGCGCAGCAGGGCCGGUAUUGCAGUCGCUCUACCGCACUGUUGUGUGUAAGAUAGAGCUGAGCCAAAAGGCAAAGUUCUCUCUUUACUGAUCAAUCUACAUCCCAACUCUCACCUAUGCUCAUGAGCUGUGGGUCAUGAAUGAGAUGCUGAAUACAAGUGGCUGAAAUUAGUUUUCUUCGACGGAUUGCGGGCGUCUCCCUUAGAGAUAGGGUGAGAAGUGCUGUCACUCGGGAGAGACUCUGAGUAGAGCCGCUGCUUUUCUGCGUUGAGAGUCAAUUGAGGUGGUUUGGGCAUCUCAUGAGGAUGCCACAUGGACAUCUUCAUUUAGAGGUGUUUCAGGCACGACCAGCUGGGAGGAGACAGAGGGGUCGACCCAGGACUGGGUGGAGGGGUUAUAUCUCUACGCUGGCCUAGGAGCGUCUCAGGAUCCCCCUGUUGGAUCUGGUAGAUGUUGCUCAGGAGGACGUUUGGCGCUGCAUUCUAAAGCUGCUGCCCUUGCGACCCGCCAAUGGAUAAGCGGAUGAGGAUGGAUGGAUGGACGUUUAUAUUGACCCUUUAAUGAGAAAGAAAAAUACAAAAACUGUGAGCAUCAAAAACUCACUCUGUCAAGUGCAUGUUCUUAAACAGUGCGCUAAUUUCAUCAUGUUUAAGCCUUCUUACAUUGAGAUGCAGAUUUGCAUCAAAGUUCUUAACAGCUGACAUAUAAUGAUGGGUUGUGAGGCUGCUUGAAGCAGUGUCCUUAUUUUCAGAGCCUAUUGGAUAGCGCCCUAUGUACUACAAACUUUUGAUUUCAACAACAAUUUGAAUGAAACUUAAUAAUUUUUAAACCGCGAGCGCCGCAUACCGCCAUUAAAGCCUCAUCAGCCCAUCACUACUGACGUUUUGAUCUUACGUCUCAGGUCAGAUUCGGGUUAGGGUGCGUAAGUAGGGUUAGACUAUAUAUAAGGUUUCAUGGCACCCAUUAACCAGCACAAUCUCUGCUCGUAUGACCACUGCAUGUAGCUGUGUGUAGCUUGCCUCAGCAUUGUGACGGGGGAGGGACCACUUCACACCAGGGACCUUGUUUAUCUAAUAGUGAGUGCUACAGAGGGAUAGUUCACCCACACGUAAAGAUGCAUCACUAGUGCGAGAUAACGUGACUCAGCCCUGCCAAAGCGUAAAUAUUGUAAUCGAUCUGGGUAAUCUCUGUGGAUUAUGUAAAAGAAGGAGGAGCUGUUCAUUCACAUGCCUUCAUUUUCUACCAGCCACAGCCAACUGUAACACAUUUGAGGAGUGACUGUCACAUCCUUUCCAACUGUUUUCAAAAUAAAACACCAGCAAAAGCAGGAUCCCAGCAAUAUCAGCUUUAUAGUUGGUGGAGGGAAAAAAAAGAUCUUGCAAUAUACUGUUGUGCUCUCUGUCGCAAUAAAUAAUCGAUACAGUGGUCUUGAAUAUCAAUAUUUUAUUACAACACACAGUGAUUAUCCAGCAUUAUUAGUUCAAAUUUAAAAUCUGUAUUUCCUGUUCACAAGCGUAUCCCAGCAAGCUUGUUCGCUUGGAAUCUAAUCUUAGCAUCGACGUACCACAGUCACGCUCCAGCUUGUAAGACACCUGCCCGUGAGGUACAUGAAACUGCACUGGCUUUCGCGUUUUCUACUGUCAUCUGCCAUGCGAGUGGCAUUACUCAUAAAACAGCAACACAAGUCUUGCUGCUGUUAUCCAGGCUGUAUGGCGCAUCACUGUUACUUCCUGGACCGGAGUCCUUGGCUCUUUCUCCAGUAAUUCAACGGGACCAUCGCAAACCAAUGUUUUUCCAAAGCCAUGGUGGGAAGUGUGGCAGUUAAUACCAGCACGUUUCCAUCAAGUUUAACAGACAGACUACAAUAAAUGAACAGCGCACGAAUAACCACCCCUUAAAAACCAAUGACUGUGAUUUGUUACCCACCAAUGGACUGAAAACACUAUCACCUUCACCCAUAUACUCCUCAGCCAGCAGCCAGGAAAAAGGAAAAAGGAAGAGAAGAGCUGGAGAGCUCCUCCUGCACCUCAGACAUAGGGAGAAAAGUCUGUCAUAGUGCACCACCUGUUGGUGCUCAUUAGUAUCACUGAUGCUGUGUGUCAUGUCCUCAUAAAUGUCAAAAACAUUUACCACCUGAAAAGGCCCUUUCCAAUGGGGCACCAGUUUUCAUUUUUCCCACUGCAGGGUCAUGAAGCCAGACUUAAGAUCUAUGCUGAAAACAGCAGAAUGUCUGUUAAUUUUCACAAAUUAAAAGGGAUUUUCGACAAAACGUUCCUUUGGUUGUUUGCCGCGACAAACACUGUCUUAAUGGAUUGUGAGCCACCUAUAGGUGCCAAAUGUUUAGGAACCGGUGCUCUUGCCAGGGAGGUCUGCCGAGAACUAUCUCCAUCAUUCAUGAAAAGAAGGCAGAGAACAAGAAAAAUGUCCAUGGGACAAUACCAGUGUACUGAACCAUUAGAGGACCGCCAAUGCAUCAUUGACUCAUAAAGUAUCAUCAAUCCUGGGUAAUGGAAGGGACUCUUUCAUUCUCACUCCAUUUCGUCUAUGGUAGUCCACACAAGAUCAUCAUGUGCCUUUUUUUUUUUCAACUCAACUGACGAAGCCCAUGGGCUCCAACUCUCCUCGAUUACCUAUUCCUUUAACAGAGCAACCACCUGUCUGUCUUUCCCAACGCCAUGGAAGUGAGGAUCAGUUGUAUCAAGAGAUGCCCUUUAGCCCUCUGCCGAAUAGGUUUUCAUCUGCACUCUCAAUGUGAUGUUUAAUGAGAGUGCAUUUACCGACAGUAUAGCAGUUUUUGAAUCACUGAAAAUGUUCAUAAACUAACCCAUGAGUGAGAUCAACUAUUCUCUCUGUUAUUGCGUAGCCUGCUGGAGUUGCUCAAGAUCCGAAGGGUCAACUGAGAUAAACUAUCUCCUAUGCAUGUCUUCUCUCAGAAGAUCCACUCACUCACUUUUCCCUUGAAUGUUUGGAGAUAAGUAAGUUCUCCCCUGAUCUUGAUGAGGAAAUGCACAUGGAGCAACAUUGUCUCACAAUUGUAAUUUGAGGUGAGAAUAGUGUAGUAGUGGGAACCAACAAGUCCAACCCCAGUGUUGCAGCUUGAGUAGACUUCCUUAAAACAUGAAGAGGUGUUGCCAGGUUUUUCCCCCACCAUGCACUUGACAGAGUGAGUUGCGUACGCAACCUUGGCGCAUCAGGCCCCAGGUCUCUGCAGACUGCUGGCAGCUAUAGGUGACACCGUCUCACACACACACAUACAAACAUAAAUACAUGUUUGGAUGUUUGAUUUGCUUUAUAUAGUUGAGUUUAUUGGAAUAUAUGCAAAUGCAUUGGCACUCUUGAAAAAUUGGGGAGCGGGACAGAAGCAUUAUUCAGUAAAAAGGUAGGAGAUUGGGCAAAGAUCCCCUGCUUUAUGUCAGUGGCAUAUGACUCUGCUCUCUCUACAUCUUAAUGGGCAGCAUAGACUGUGGAUAUUGGGCUCUCUGAUUUCAAAUUGCUGCCAAAUUGCAGCUUCUAAAGGUUUAUUUGAGUUGGAGACUUGACCCUCCUAUAAUCUGGUUAGUAUUUCGAAUCCAAAUUUGGGAUUUCUCGCCUUUGUCUCAUGGUCUAUGUUUGCCAAAUAUGUGAUCCCAGCAGCAGGUGCCUUUAUUGCUUGGUCCUCUCACCUAGUAUGGUAGCAGGUCUUGUGACUAUAUUUCUGUCCCUCUCAUCUAGGAUC